AGUGAACGCUGGCGGUAGGCCUAACACAUGCAAGUCGAACGGCAGCACAGUAAGAGCUUGCUCUUACGGGUGGCGAGUGGCGGACGGGUGAGGAAUACAUCGGAAUCUACUUUUUCGUGGGGAAUAACGUGGGAAAACUUCCGCUACUACCGAAUACGACCAACGGGUGAAAGCAGGGGUUCUUCGGACCUUGCCCGAUUGAUUGAGCCGAUGUCGGAUUAGCUAGUUGGCGGGGUAAGGGCCCACCAAGGCGACGAUACGUAGCUGGUCUGAGAGGAUGAUCAGCCACACUGGAACUGAGACACGGUCCAGACUCCUACGGGAGGCAGCAGUGGGGAAUAUUGGACAAUGGGCGCAAGCCUGAUCCAGCCAUACCGCGUGGGUGAAGAAGGCCUUCGGGUUGUAAAGCCCUUUUGUUGGGAAAGAAAAGCAGCAGGUGAAUACCCCGCUGUUCUGACGGUACCCAAAGAAUAAGCACCGGCUAACUUCGUG
rnacentral:rRNA from 1 species